UACGUAGGUGGCAAGCGUUGUCCGGAUUUACUGGGCGUAAAGAGCGCGCAGGCGGUCGUUCAAGUCGCGUGUGAAAGCCCCCGGCUCAACUGGGGAGGGUCACGCGAUACUGAUCGACUGGAAGGCAGGAGAGGGUAGUGGAAUUCCCGGUGUAGUGGUGAAAUGCGUAGAUAUCGGGAGGAACACCAUUGGCGAAGGCGACUACCUGGCCUGUUCUUGACGCUGAGGCGCGAAAGCUAGGGGAGCGAACGGG
rnacentral:rRNA from 1 species